rnacentral:misc_RNA from 1 species
CCAAACUUGGUCAUUUAGAGGAAGUAAAAGUCGUAACAAGGUUUCCGUAGGUGAACCUGCGGAAGGAUCAUUACCGAGUUAGGGGUCUUAGGCCCCGACCUCCAACCCUUUGUCUACUUAAAUAAUGUUGCUUCGGCGGGCCCGUUUCGGUGCACUGCGCCUGGGACCGUCGGGGGUCUACGCCCCUGACCCGCGUCCGUCGAUAGCCCAUUUGAAACUCUUGAUGAAUUAUGUCGUCUAAGUGUCUAUUUUAAUAAGCACAAAACUUUCAACAACGGAUCUCUUGGUUCUGGCAUCGAUGAAGAACGCAGC